ACGAACGCUGGCGGCGUGCUUAACACAUGCAAGUCGAGCGGGGAUGCGAGCUGGAGCGCUUCGGCGUGAAGGCUAGUGUCCUAGCGGCGGACGGGUGAGUAACGCGUGGGCAACCUGCCCUCAAGACCGGGAUACCAACUCGAAAGGGUUGUUAAUACCGGAUGUGAUGGAUGGCUCGCAUGAGCUGUUCAUCAAAGGAGCGAUCCGCUUGAGGAGGGGCCUGCGUUCCAUUAGCUAGUUGGUGAGGUAGCGGCUCACCAAGGCGACGAUGGAUAGCCGGCCUGAGAGGGUGGCCGGCCACACUGGGACUGAGAUACGGCCCAGACUCCUACGGGGGGCAGCAGUGGGGAAUCUUGCACAAUGGGCGAAAGCCUGAUGCAGCAACGCCGCGUGAGGGAAGAAGGUCUUCGGAUCGUAAACCUCUGUCCAGAGGGAAGAAGGAAGUGACGGUACCUUUGGAGGAAGCCCCGGCUAACUACGUGCCAGCAGCCGCGGUAAUACGUAGGGGGCGAGCGUUGUCCGGAAUUAUUGGGCGUAAAGGGCGCGUAGGCGGUGACACAAGUCAGGUGAUAAAGGCACGGGCUCAACCGGUGUUAGGCACUUGAAACUGUGUUGCUAGAGUGCAGGAGAGGGGAGUGGAAUUCCAGGUGUAGCGGUGAAAUGCGUAGAUAUCUGGAAGAACACCAGUGGCGAAAGCGGCUCUCUGGACUGUAACUGACGCUUAGGCGCGAAAGCUGGGGGAGCAAACAGG
rnacentral:rRNA from 1 species